rnacentral:rRNA from 1 species
GAGACCCACGCCCACAGUUGCCAGCGUACUCUCUGGAGUGACGGGUACACUGUGGGGACCGCCGCUGCUAAAGCGGAGGAAGGAAUGGGCAACGGUAGGUCAGUAUGCUCCGAAUGUCCCGGGCUACACGCGAGCCACAAUGGUUGGUACAAUGGGUAUCUACCCCGAAAGGGGAUGGAAAUCUCCUAAAGCCAAUCUUAGUUCGGAUUGAGGGCUGCAACUCGCCCUCAUGAAGCUGGAAUCCGUAGUAAUCGCGUUUCAACAGAACGCGGUGAAUAC